UUAAGCGACUAAGCGUACACGGUGGAUGCCCUGGCAGUCAGAGGCGAUGAAGGACGUGCUAAUCUGCGAUAAGCGUCGGUAAGGUGAUAUGAACCGUUAUAACCGGCGAUUUCCGAAUGGGGAAACCCAGUGUGUUUCGACACACUAUCAUUAACUGAAUCCAUAGGUUAAUGAGGCGAACCGGGGGAACUGAAACAUCUAAGUACCCCGAGGAAAAGAAAUCAACCGAGAUUCCCCCAGUAGCGGCGAGCGAACGGGGAGGAGCCCAGAGCCUGAAUCAGUGUGUGUGUUAGUGGAAGCGUCUGGAAAGGCGCGCGAUACAGGGUGACAGCCCCGUACACAAAAAUGCACAUGCUGUGAGCUCGAUGAGUAGGGCGGGACACGUGGUAUCCUGUCUGAAUAUGGGGGGACCAUCCUCCAAGGCUAAAUACUCCUGACUGACCGAUAGUGAACCAGUACCGUGAGGGAAAGGCGAAAAGAACCCCGGCGAGGGGAGUGAAAAAGAACCUGAAACCGUGUACGUACAAGCAGUGGGAGCCUCUUUAUGGGGUGACUGCGUACCUUUUGUAUAAUGGGUCAGCGACUUAUAUUCUGUAGCAAGGUUAACCGAAUAGGGGAGCCGAAGGGAAACCGAGUCUUAACUGGGCGUUAAGUUGCAGGGUAUAGACCCGAAACCCGGUGAUCUAGCCAUGGGCAGGUUGAAGGUUGGGUAACACUAACUGGAGGACCGAACCGACUAAUGUUGAAAAAUUAGCGGAUGACUUGUGGCUGGGGGUGAAAGGCCAAUCAAACCGGGAGAUAGCUGGUUCUCCCCGAAAGCUAUUUAGGUAGCGCCUCGUGAACUCAUCUCCGGGGGUAGAGCACUGUUUCGGCAAGGGGGUCAUCCCGACUUACCAACCCGAUGCAAACUGCGAAUACCGGAGAAUGUUAUCACGGGAGACACACGGCGGGUGCUAACGUCCGUCGUGAAGAGGGAAACAACCCAGACCGCCAGCUAAGGUCCCAAAGUCAUGGUUAAGUGGGAAACGAUGUGGGAAGGCCCAGACAGCCAGGAUGUUGGCUUAGAAGCAGCCAUCAUUUAAAGAAAGCGUAAUAGCUCACUGGUCGAGUCGGCCUGCGCGGAAGAUGUAACGGGGCUAAACCAUGCACCGAAGCUGCGGCAGCGACGCUUAUGCGUUGUUGGGUAGGGGAGCGUUCUGUAAGCCUGUGAAGGUGUGCUGUGAGGCAUGCUGGAGGUAUCAGAAGUGCGAAUGCUGACAUAAGUAACGAUAAAGCGGGUGAAAAGCCCGCUCGCCGGAAGACCAAGGGUUCCUGUCCAACGUUAAUCGGGGCAGGGUGAGUCGACCCCUAAGGCGAGGCCGAAAGGCGUAGUCGAUGGGAAACAGGUUAAUAUUCCUGUACUUGGUGUUACUGCGAAGGGGGACGGAGAAGGCUAUGUUGGCCGGGCGACGGUUGUCCCGGUUUAAGCGUGUAGGCUGGUUUUCCAGGCAAAUCCGGAAAAUCAAGGCUGAGGCGUGAUGACGAGGCACUACGGUGCUGAAGCAACAAAUGCCCUGCUUCCAGGAAAAGCCUCUAAGCAUCAGGUAACAUCAAAUCGUACCCCAAACCGACACAGGUGGUCAGGUAGAGAAUACCAAGGCGCUUGAGAGAACUCGGGUGAAGGAACUAGGCAAAAUGGUGCCGUAACUUCGGGAGAAGGCACGCUGAUAUGUAGGUGAAGCGACUUGCUCGUGGAGCUGAAAUCAGUCGAAGAUACCAGCUGGCUGCAACUGUUUAUUAAAAACACAGCACUGUGCAAACACGAAAGUGGACGUAUACGGUGUGACGCCUGCCCGGUGCCGGAAGGUUAAUUGAUGGGGUCAGCGCAAGCGAAGCUCUUGAUCGAAGCCCCGGUAAACGGCGGCCGUAACUAUAACGGUCCUAAGGUAGCGAAAUUCCUUGUCGGGUAAGUUCCGACCUGCACGAAUGGCGUAAUGAUGGCCAGGCUGUCUCCACCCGAGACUCAGUGAAAUUGAACUCGCUGUGAAGAUGCAGUGUACCCGCGGCAAGACGGAAAGACCCCGUGAACCUUUACUAUAGCUUGACACUGAACAUUGAGCCUUGAUGUGUAGGAUAGGUGGGAGGCUUUGAAGUGUGGACGCCAGUCUGCAUGGAGCCGACCUUGAAAUACCACCCUUUAAUGUUUGAUGUUCUAACGUUGACCCGUAAUCCGGGUUGCGGACAGUGUCUGGUGGGUAGUUUGACUGGGGCGGUCUCCUCCUAAAGAGUAACGGAGGAGCACGAAGGUUGGCUAAUCCUGGUCGGACAUCAGGAGGUUAGUGCAAUGGCAUAAGCCAGCUUGACUGCGAGCGUGACGGCGCGAGCAGGUGCGAAAGCAGGUCAUAGUGAUCCGGUGGUUCUGAAUGGAAGGGCCAUCGCUCAACGGAUAAAAGGUACUCCGGGGAUAACAGGCUGAUACCGCCCAAGAGUUCAUAUCGACGGCGGUGUUUGGCACCUCGAUGUCGGCUCAUCACAUCCUGGGGCUGAAGUAGGUCCCAAGGGUAUGGCUGUUCGCCAUUUAAAGUGGUACGCGAGCUGGGUUUAGAACGUCGUGAGACAGUUCGGUCCCUAUCUGCCGUGGGCGCUGGAGAACUGAGGGGGGCUGCUCCUAGUACGAGAGGACCGGAGUGGACGCAUCACUGGUGUUCGGGUUGUCAUGCCAAUGGCACUGCCCGGUAGCUAAAUGCGGAAGAGAUAAGUGCUGAAAGCAUCUAAGCACGAAACUUGCCCCGAGAUGAGUUCUCCCUGACCCUUUAAGGGUCCUGAAGGAACGUUGAAGACGACGACGUUGAUAGGCCGGGUGUGUAAGCGCAGCGAUGCGUUGAGCUAACCGGUACUAAUGAACCGUGAGGCUUAACCUU
rnacentral:rRNA from 1 species